UCAUUUUAGGGAAGUUAAAGUAAACAUAGAUUGUAGUGUUCUGUGUAGAGACUGACCCUGUUGUCUCAGGUUACAGUACACCUACCCAAAGAGUUCUGCCCCUUGCUCUUCUGAAAGGCUGGCCUGCCAUCCAUGGUGAGACUGCUGAAUCUUUGGAAGUGGCAAGUUCUAUUUUGUUUGUUUUUUGAGACAGAGUUUCUCUGUGUAGCCCUGCUGUCCUGGAAUUCUCUCUGUAGACCAGGCUGGCCUUGAACUCAGGAACCACCUAUCUUCAGAGUGCUGGGAUUAAAGGUGAGCGCCACCACCACCCAGCUCUGAUUGGAUUUUUUUAGUGUUGAUGGCAGGCAGUAAAAGAAAAUUAGUAACUAUUCAGUGUUUCCAAAGUUUCUUCAAUGUCUUGAAUCAAAUCUUUUUUUCUUGAGGAAACCACAGCACCAGAACUGUUCUGCCUGGGUCUUUGUGCAGCGUCUUGGAGGCCUGUGGUCUCUCUGGCUUACUGGGUGUUUCAUAUACCUUGGCCCAUAGCAAGUGCAUCCCAGCCCUGCAGUGUGGCUGAUACCGUGGGAGGAAAUGCUCAGGAACAGCCAGAGUUCACUGAAUGGAGUUGUCUGAGUACCUACUGGCCUGGGAGAGAGAAGUGAAUCAAACUGUCUGUUCCUGGAGGGGUGCAUAGCCUAACUGCAGUGGUAUCCACCGUUUAUCCUGUUGUAAGAGUGCCUUCCAUGGGAAUUUGAGCCACAGACCCAGGAGGUAUAACUACCUUAGCAUGCUGGAAUUUCUUGGUCAACCCUGCAGACAAUUCCAUUGUUACAUAUUUUCCACAUAGUCUUCCUGUGGGCAUAAAAAUAAAGGCUCUACUACCCUAGCAGCUCCAUGCUGAUAGGUCAAAGUUCAGGCCAAGCCCAGGUGCUGGCUUCUGUUAGAAAUCCCGCAGGACUGUUCUUUUCAUACUUGAUUUCUCAGGCCAGUUGCUCGGCUUGGACAUGAACACCUACUUCAGCGCAUUGCCCCUGGGCUCUGCUCUGAGGGGGACCUGUGAAUUAAAACACCUCUCUGCAGCUCUCUCAGGUGGCCUGAAGUUUUCAUGGCUAUGUGGCACCCAGUCUCGCCAGGCUUACUUAGACAGUGGGGCAAACUUUUAUGCUUCCUGUACAGGGCUAGCUUUGAUAAGAACUAUUACGUGGGAUACUGUGAGUGUUUUGUCACUUUUUAAAGAAGUUAUUUGAUGCUUAUUGUGAUUUUAAAUGAUCCUGUAAUUUCUCACAUAGACUAUAGGAAGCAACCGAGUCAGUCUUACACUGUUGGCAAACGCAGCUGCUUUCCUUGACAACUAAUGCUAGUUUAGGUUUCUCUUUGUGCCCGUUUGUUGAAAACCUUUGCUUUCUGGAGCUAUGCCUUCAAAGCCUGCUUGUCACUUUGGUGACACGCAUUAGAGAGGCUGCCAUUUUUCCACUUUCAAAGGGAACUUGUGCCACAGAUGGACUGGAGAGGUUCCAGGCCUUACCAAAGUGUUCCAUUAGCAUCUCCAAAGGAGGACCCAAGGGGCCUGCCUUUCCUGAGGCCUCUGUUGCUCUGCAGUGGAGCAAGAACCAGGCUACUGCCUUGCCUGCCUUUGUUGAGAAGCCAGAGCCUCCAUCUGAGCUAUUCCAUUGCUUGUAAGGAACCUGGAUCUCCCAUGUUCACCAUCCCUGAGAUGCCCGGCAUCUCAGACCACUUAAAGAUGUAGAGGUACCUCCAGCUGCUUUAAUGGAAAUGAAGAAAUAAUGAAGAUGGGCAGAUGGCUCACAGUGGUCUGGCUUCUAAAAGCUGGAGGUUACCAGUUAGGCCCAGCACAGUUUGGAGGUCAGAAAAUCAAUCCCUGGACUGUAAGCUGCAAGUCUUGCUGGGUGACCAUCUGAGAGGCAAGGUUGUCUCCUAGGCUGCCCUAGUGCUGAACAGCAGGCCAGACUGGAAGCACUGCUCCAGGACUCAGGGAUCUGGGCUGCAAGGAUCUGUCUGGUCUGCUUUUGUUUCCUUCUCCCCCAGCAAGAGAUGUGGACCUUAGUCUGUAAUGCUAGAUUUUCUAUUUGUUUAGUGACCUUUAAGCCCAUGAUGUUCAUUUGUUGAAAGAUGAGAAGUCUCAGGGUAAUUCUAGUGUUUCUAGAGGACAGGCUCUAAUUGUCAGUCUUGAUUUAAUUGAAGGUUUGUGUGCCACUGUGUCCUCUCUUUCUCUCCUCCCUUUUUCUUCUGUGCUAGUUUUUCACCCUCUUCCUCUCUGAUGAAAGCAGUCCAGGCCAUACAUCAUUUUCUUUCUUUUUUCACCUAAAUAUUUAUAUCCCUGUGAAAUGGCUGAAUUGCAUCCUUAAUAGCCACGGAGACUCUGGCCAGAGGCAUUCUUAGACUCAGGUUCAAAGUCAAAAUCUUAACUCUUGCUCUUGGUCCUCCAAUUGUAAACAUGGCCCAAUGGCUCACUGGAACAUCUGUUGGUCAUUUGUAUAUUCAGAAAAUGAUCAGAAAGCCAUACAGACGAAGUUAUAAAUAACCAAAAAAUAUUAGAAGGUGGAGCUAAAAUGCUGGCUGCCACUGAAUGCCUCAGCCAAAACACACCUUGCCAGAGGCAGCUGAGUCCCCUUCAGGCUGCCCUGUGUGGUGCAGGUGGACAAUGGCUGCACUGAGAUAGGAGGCCCAUAUGAGCACAAGACUUGUCUCUACUGGAAUCAGCACAUCUGACAAGGCUACCAACCUGUAAGGAGACCCUUUAUCUCCUUCAGACUUGACAUCACCUCCCUCCUUUUUGCUCCCUCUUGGUUCUUUUCCUCUGUUGGUUCUUGGCUACCAUCUGUGUCUCCUGCAAAUCCUGGUUGGACCUUACAGGUGGAUGUAUAGUUUGAACUCUUUGUGGAUUCUGAAGAACUGAUUAGUUGUUGUUGCUAGUGUUGUUGCCUAUGUCUGAAAUAGGAAAAUUCAAGUUCUUUGGUGAAUGCUGUCUUCUAUGCCUGGCGACUGGACCCUCAGGUGGGUGGUGUCUAUACUCUACCCACCCACAGGAGAUCUAAAACAUCCCCAGCCUGCAUACUGCCAUAAUUCCUCACCCAGGCUCACACCUGGGGAAGGUAAACAGGACUUGGUCAUGGCUUAUGUCUGUAAGCAUUUCUCCAAGGCUCCUGUUCCCUUCUGUAACUGGUGGAUCACUUCAUUGUGAUACCAGCUUGAGACAGGAUAGCAAGACUCUUUUUGUAAUUAUUUUUAUUUUAUGUACAUUGGUAUUUGCCUGCAUGUAUGUCUCUGUGAGCCUGUCAGAAGUCCUGGAACUGGAAUUUGAGGGCUUUAUAUGGUGGGGUGUACAGACACAAAGGAAGGCUAAUUAUUACAUAGUUUGUGAAUCCAUUGAAUGUUAAAAUGUGCCUUGUAUUCAAUUUCAUCUCACAAGAAACAGAAAUUUUAGAAACUUAUUUGAAAAGCCUCCUCUCCAGGAAGCAUUACAGUUCUUAGGUUCUGUUCCACAAGCAGGAGGUUCUGCCUGCAUGCCAGUGAGCUUCACUCUUAGCGCAUGUGAAGAGGUCCCCGAAGCAACAGCAGUCACAGGACACUGGGUGCUGGGAUAGGCAGGAAGUAAGGGCCACUCCAACAUACUCAGCUAAGGUCUAUUGUGAACUUUUUUUUUUUCCCUGUAAGCUUUCCAAGCUACUUGGGACAUCGGGACAAUUUAUUUCACUCACAGGAGUUUAUGCUGCUUGAGGGCAAAAUACUGUGUUUACGAUGCUGUUCUUAAAAUAGCAGGCCAUCCAUGGUGCUUGAAUCAUCAUCAGGACUCUGUCCUGCUUUCAAGGAAUUCAGUGUAUCAGGAGCUCAGAGUGUGGACACUAAGUGCUUGAGUGCCAGAUGCAAGGUGCGUCAGUGAAACAGGGAGCAUCUGGGGAAGGUGGAGUGAAGGGCUGCCUGGUGAUUCACCUGCGCAGGAGGAGAGCAGACUGGGCAAAGUGUCCCUGAGGUGACUCGCAGACCCUCACACUGACAGAAGACCUACACAGAAAACCCUUUGCCAAAUCUGCUCCUAGCAAGUGGACAGUGACACCGUUUACAGCUUGACACCUUUGUGAAUCCCACGCCAUUUUCCUAACCCAGCAGAGACUGUUAGCAGCCCUGGCCCUGGGUGAAGCCCAUACCCGUGGAACAGAACUCUGUAAUGUAUGCAAACUCUCUGAGUGACCUGCCAGCAAGGACAGCACCCUUCAGCACCACCACUCUCCUUCAGAGCACACCGGGAGCCCCAUCAGCGAUUCUGUAGUGCUUUACUAUCAUGGUUUAUGGGAUAUGUUAAGCGUUGUUUUGUGUUUGUUUCCCCUUUGACCCUCUGGGUUUUUUUUUUUUUUUUUCACACAGUAACUUGCAGUAUUUUUCUGUUAAAAUGUUAACUGCCCUUCCCCUAGCACACUUAUAAGCGGAAGGAAAAGUGCUGUACCAGUUCCCAGUCUGGCUUUGAGCAUCCCAAGCUUCGGAGCCCAUGGAACUCCACAAACUUAACACAUUACAUAAACUAAAGGGGGAUUUUCUUUCUUCUUUUGUUUGGUAGAAAAGUAUUCUUUUCUAAAAACUGAACAAUGGCACAAUUGUUUGCCCUGUAUACCCGUCCAGGACUAAACUACGUGUAGGCGAAGCAAAUGGAGGCAGGCAUCUGACUCAGCAGUUUCCAGUUCUGAGUUGGGGGUGGUCUGUGGAUGGGGACCCAGUGCCCACCCUACAGCUGCCUGGUCAGUAGGGCUUAUGGUCCCGCCAUUCUCCUCAGCCAGUGCAGUAGACAGUGUCUGCUCUUAGAACUAGGACCUCUUCAGGAAAGCACAGCUACUGCUCAUUGCCAAAUGCCAUGAAUGGGUUUAGUUUUAAGGAGAAAAAAAAAAGAAGAAAAAAAAAAAUGUGGUGUUUUGCUUCAUAGAAGAUAGGGGAUUGCUGGUGGGCCAUUAAGAAAGAGUGCAGUGGGGAAUGUGUGAAAUGGGCAAACCAAGUCUGCACUAAGGCAGGUCCAACUUCACUGUUUUUGAAACAUACACAUCUUUUGAUUAUUUUCAGCCUUGCUGUGUAUACUCUGAUCUUUCUAGAAGUGUAUGAGUGACAGGCGAUAGCAUACAAGGUGAUGUAAAUAAGCUUAAGGUGUAAUUGUACAAGUGACACUUGGAAAUACAAGAUAAGGCAGUCUAAACUUUUUUUUUUAACUUUCUCUGCUUCUAUGAAUCUCAUUUUUUGUUUGUUUGUUUGUUUUCAAAAAGUUAUGGUGCUGUAUAGGUGCUUUCUGUUUAACCUGCAAAGUGUGAGUGUAUUCAUUGCCCUUUGACAGGCAGCAUAGUUGGGAACACCUUUGGUACAUACGAAACUGGUGUGAUGAUGCCCUGGUUAGCACAGCAUAUACAUACUUCUCCAAGGUGAUAUACGAAGACUCUUCUUUGCAUAAAAAGCAUUAGGCAUAUAAGUGUAUAAAUGUAUUUUACCAUGUACAGUACAAAAAUGGAACUUUAUGCAUGGCGUUAGGAAUGUGGGCUGAUAUUCCAGCACGGUCUCCCUGCUUGAGUUCUCGCUCUUGCUUGCACUGUGGCAGUGGACACCAACACAGGCGUGCCACCCAGUCCCCUGCACCCACCACCGGCCCCCUUGUGCACCUUUGCUUUAUGAUUCCUCUAGGAAUGAUAUUGGUGGCAAUCACAACUCCUAGCAUAAUGAGAGUUCCAUUUGGUAUUGUCACACUUCUUUCUUGCCUCACUUAGAUUACUGUAUCUGAGCAAUGGCCCUGUCAGUUUCACUCUGCCUUUUCCAGAACCUGUACAUUGUCACUCAGUUGUGGCUGUAGUAGGCCUAUAGCACAUUGCCUUUUCCAAACUGCUACAUGUUUAUAGUCUCCAUUUGUAAAGUCUAAUUUUGAAAAUAUGUAUAGUAUUCCUGUGGUCUGCUUGUCAGUGAGCCAUACCUGCUUACUUCACUCUUUUGUGGUGAUGCUAGCCACUCCCUGAUUCUUCAGUAGUCAGCUGUCCACACAAACUGGGUCAUUUCAGGCAGAGGGCUGGUAGGCUGGCUUCCCAGAGUGCUGCUUCCUUGGUGGGCUGCAUGGGGGUGGCAGCUGAGGGAGUGGAAAGAGCUCAGGUACAAGGGAGAACCCCAAGUGCUUCCAACAGGAGGGCCCUGAGAAUUCUCUCCUGAGUUUAAAGAAACGAGCAGACUAAUUCACAAGACAGCCACUUGGCUGUGCAGUUUACAGGCGCUGGGAGUGGGAAGGCAACCCUCCAGUGUAUUCCCCUAGUUUUAAAACGUUGAAUUCCUUUUAGACACGUAACUUCUCAUUUAUUUUCUUGCCCAGAGUUUGUUGGAUUUCAGGCACCAAGUUUCACAGAAUGUCCUAGAAACAGAUUAUAAGCUGAAGCAAGGACCAUGUGAGGCCAGGGUGGCCUCAGUAGAUCAGAAAAGCAGAGGCAGAAUGCUUUGAUACACUUUACUUUUUAAAAUAAUACAACGUCCACACAUAGGAUGUGUGGAGAGCUAAGGCCCGCCAGGCCCAGGACCCAUGCACACCCAACUCCAGGGUCCCUACACAGACAGGCUUAAGAAGCCCAGGUCUAUGGCAGUCAGACUCGGCAGAGGUGACGCCUGGGCCCUCUGUACCUUCUGUUGGAACCCUGCUUUCAGGGUAGGCUCAUCAUUGUCCACCCAGUAGCAUUCUCAAUGUCUUAAGUCCCUAACAGUGAAAUGCUCCAAGGAGCAGAUGACCUCACAACCUGCUAACGCCUGUGUGAACCUUCCUAGGGAGCCCAGCACACUUGUGACAAUACAGGAAACAGAGUGCCUACUGUUCAAGACUGAAGCUCUCUUGGGCUCUGCGGUCUCUUCAGGCUCCAGAGCCUGACAUCUUGUACCAAAGCUAGAGAAGAGCACGUGGCGAGCCUGCCCACCCUGGACUUGUUAACUGUGACUGCGUCUGAGGUGGUGUCUGUCCUCGGGGACGUGAUGACUGCUGAAGCACAUAGGACUCUCCUGCUGACGGAGGACAUGCACACAGGCGCUGCGUGAUGAAUAGCAUCAUGUGUGUUGCUUUCCCAGCCAGAGGAGAGGACAUCUUGCCUCACUCCCCAGGAGAGGCCCCGUCUCAGGUGUGACUUCAGCCAACAUCCAAACCCAUAUACAGGUCCAAGGUCACAGGGACAGACAACUUUGCCAUCCCCUGAACGAACAGGCAGCGUUGGAAUCUUCCAGAAAAGACCUUCAGGAGUAAAGCAGAGAGAAAGCAAGUCUGUCCCUGGGCCUGAGGGGGCACAAACAACUCCUUUUCUCUGUAGAAACAAAGGAAAGGCGGUAUAGACUUGAAUCCUCCUCCUCGGUGGAUCUGGGGAACGUAUGAUUAGGCACAAUAAUGUUCUUUUUAAAAUUAACAGCAGACCUUAUGUAGAAAAGCAAUCACUGGUACUGAGGUACAAAGAAGCCAUUUGUGGGAUUGGAACAGCAGGGAACCAGGGGAUGAGGUAGGAGAGAUGUCUUGUGGGAACUAAGGUCAAACAAGACCUUAGAGCAGCUGCCCAGGUCACUGACAGAAGUGUGCGGUAUUUGCACUAAAUCUUCAGUGUAAAACACACAGAUUAGAUGAGUGCAGCAUUUUCACUUGUUGAGUUUUAUGUGUUUUGUAUUUUUCUUUCAUGAGUUAAUAAUUACAAGGCCUCUGCCACACUCCAGAAAUACUAGUGCAGCUGGUUUAAAAAAAAAAAAAAAGGUGUGUGUGUCUGGUCACUUAUUUCUCUAGAAUUAUCUCAUUGCCUGGCAAUCAGCCUUGUCUUAUGUCCUUGUUCGAGCACAUUAUGUACGUGGGAAAUGUAAACAGAUGUGAGAGAGACCAGAAGAAUUCGUGAAUAUUGAAAAAUGUCUUGUGCAUUUGGGCUUCACAUGUUUAACUUUUUUUAAGGGGAAAAAAAAAAAGUUGCAUGAAUGAAAAACCAAUUCUGUAUACAGUUUCUGUAAAAAUGGCUUAUCUGUUUUGAUUUCUUGCUUCUGCCCCACACAAACUAGAAUUUAGUAUGGUGCGUGGCCAUAUUCAGACACGUAAGAAGCAGUCUGUUGUGCGGUGUGAAGCAAACACUACUGUGCUGCAUUCUAGUCCUGAGGACCUCGUCUAACCACACAUUGCCAUGAAUUAGCCUGACCGCCUUCUUCUCAAGGAUCAAAACCAGUUUGAUUUGGGAAUCUGCCCCUUUCCAGUGAAAUGGAGAUGCUUACUUCCCUGGGUGUCUGUAGAUAUGCCUGUGUAUUCCAUUUAAAACCAUAAUCUAGUUUGUAAAAGAGAUGGUGACGCAUGUAAAUAAAGCAUUGAUGACACUCUGCCCCAUGCCCAGAAGUCUCUGUCAUCACCACUGCCCUGUGCUCCCCCACAAGUGAAAUGUUUGGGUUUGUGUGAUAGUCUUCUUGUGGGAUGGAUCACUUCCCAAGCUGGGAGAGGCAGAGACCUGCCAAGCUAUUACAUCUAAAUGAAAUGAGCCCAGUAAACUCUUGCUCCACCCCACGUUUGCCCUCCGUAGACAAGCAGUUUAAUAAAACACAUUCUCGGAGUUGUUCAUGCUGGCCGAUGGUGGGCUUGGUGUGCACUGGUUCAUAGAGCCCCUGGGGAGCGCCUAAAUGUGAAGGCGGGAGUCAGACUGCCUUAACGGACUGACCAGUCCUAAAGAAGUCCUCCUUCCAUGAGUCCAGUGAGUAACCACUGGCCAUCAUCAGGGCCCUCCUGGUAUACUGAAAGCCAG
rnacentral:lncRNA from 1 species